rnacentral:rRNA from 1 species
UACGUAGGCAGCAAGCGUUGUUCGGAGUUACUGGGCGUAAAGGGUGCGUAGGCGGCCCUGUAAGUAUGGUGUGAAAUCUCCCGGCUUAACUGGGAGGGUGCGCUAUAGACUGCGGGGCUCGAGUGUGGGAGAGGAAAGUGGAAUUCCUGGUGUAGCGGUGAAAUGCGUAGAUAUCAGGAGGAACACCGGUGGUGUAAACGGCUUUCUGGACCAUAACUGACGCUGGAGGGCAACGAAAAGCGUGGGUAGCAAACAGG